rnacentral:rRNA from 1 species
GUGGGGAAUCUUGCGCAAUGGGCGAAAGCCUGACGCAGCCAUGCCGCGUGAAUGAUGAAGGUCUUAGGAUUGUAAAAUUCUUUCACCGGGGACGAUAAUGACGGUACCCGGAGAAGAAGCUCCGGCUAACUUCGUGCCAGCAGCCGCGGUAAUACGAAGGGGGCUAGCGUUGCUCGGAAUUACUGGGCGUAACGGGCGCGUAGGCGGACAGCUUAGUCAGAGGUGAAAGCCCAGGGCUCAAGCUUGGAAUUGGCUUUGAUAAUGGCUGUCUUGAGUGUGGGAGAGGUGGGUGGAACUCCGAGUGUAGAGGUGAAAUUCGUAGAUAUUCGGAGGAACACCAGUGGCGAAGGCGGCUCACUGGCUCGAUACUGACGCUGAGGUGCGAAAGCGUGGGGAGCAAACAGGAUUAGAAACCCUAGUAGUCC